GCUCCUGUGGUGUAGUCCGGCCAAGCAUAUUGGCUUCUCAAGCCAAUGAUCUCGGGUUCAAAUCCCGACGGGAGCA
rnacentral:tRNA from 6 species